rnacentral:lncRNA from 1 species
CAAUUUUGAUUAAAUACACCAACAGUAUAUUUGUAAAAAGUGCAAUAACGUGUUGGAAACCAAAUUCACAAUAGAAAAACAUAAUCACUUCUCCAAAGGGAGUAGUUAUUUCACAACAGCAAUCAAAAACGAAGAAAUUUGUCUAUCCUGUUACUAUGGUUGCUAUGGUUACAGUACACAGCAAUAGACAAUUGUAGACAAAAACGUCGUUAAUUUUUUUAUCUAACAUAUAGGUGCAAAACGAAUGAAAUAUUUCGUUGUUUGAAGUCAUCUUCAGGUUAUAACGUCUUAAUCUUCCCAAUUAAGCAUUCGCAGGUGCAAUACUGAUAUCGGUAACAGGAUAGACAAAAAGGUAACAGGAUAGACU